UUCGAUAGAACUGGUCUCAGGCCGCUUCGCAACGAGGCGGCACUUUCAGCUCGCCACGCCGGCAGCGAGCGCAAACCGGCAGAACGACUCUGCCCGGCCUCGGAGAGGCCGACGGGACAUUACAGUCAAC
rfam:Pseudomonas putida KT2440 complete genome.